rnacentral:rRNA from 1 species
UCGAGAAUCUUCGGCAAUGCGCGCAAGCGUGACCGAGCGACGCCGCGUGCGGGAUGAAGGCCUUCGGGUUGUAAACCGCUGUCAGAGGGGAUGAAAUCGUUGAGGGUUCUCCCUCUUCGUUGACAGAGCCUCAGAGGAAGCGCGGGCUAAGUUCGUGCCAGCAGCCGCGGUAACACGAACUGCGCGAACGUUAUUCGGAUUCACUGGGCUUAAAGGGUGCGUAGGCGGUCCGUUAAGUAGGAUGUGAAAUUUGUCGGCUCAACCGGCAAACGGCAUUUUAAACUGGCGGGCUUGAGCGAGUCAGGGGUGAGUGGAACUUCCGGUGGAGCGGUGAAAUGUGUUGAUAUCGGAAGGAACGCCGGUGGCGAAAGCGACUCACUGGGGCUUGUCUGACGCUGAGGCACGAAAGCCAGGGGAGCGAACAGG